AAAUAAAGGUCAGUAUAAACUAAAAAGUAAAUUAAAAAAUUAAGCUUAAUCCACCACUAUAUUACACAAGGAAAAAAACCCUAAUAAUCCAAAGAUUCCCUGUAAGCAGCAUAUUGGCAACAGUGGAGAAAAAAACUCACCUUUACCCUCCAGCAGAACCAGGCUCAGGGAGGGCAGACAUCGACCUCACCUGGUCGGGGUGAGGAUUAACGGGUGAAACACCAGGAAAGCAGAAAAACAGACCUGUGGAGCUCUAGAAUUAAGAGCAAUAGGGGGGGAAAUGCAUUGGAGAUAAAUCACAGAAUACUCGAGUGUAAAUUGUGCGUUUAUUACCUUGUCUGACAUGCUUUUAGAUCCUUUCAUUCAACUGUUACGGUAAACUUUAAUGCAGAGUGAAACAACAAAGCCCAAGCUGCUGGAAGCCCUGUGACAUACUGUCCUGAACAAAGACUGGGAUGGAGCUGCUGGAACUCUCCUGUUUACAGCGGGAGGCUUAUUCAGGGAUUAUUACAGCCCCAGCAGAGUCACUGUGUACGAGUGUCGGGGGGGUGGCAGCAUAAAUAAAACACAGCCGGGGGGUAAACAGGGUGUUUUAAUCGGUCGGCGAAGAGUUGAGAAAAUGCCGGAUGCGAGUGGAGGUUAUAAGUAGAGGUGAGCAGGAAGCGGACCUCAGCUGCUGCACGAGUCGGAUCCUAUUUGUUACGCCUCGCCUUCCACUUCCUCCACAUCCACGUCUGGUGGUUCUCCAGCCGAGGCCAUGCACCCCCAGCGACCUCUCCCCCAGGCCAUGCCCUCCUCGUCCCUGGGGCAGCACCUCAGGGACAUGACCAUGGGGCUGGGACGAGGCAAGAACCUACUGGGAGGAAACUUUGCCUACGGGUUCAUCCAGUCCAUUAAGGAGUGCCUCUACUUCCUCCUCUGCUGCUGGUGUAUUAAGGAGAUCCUGGACUGACACUCUGAGAGUAGAUCAAGUGGGAAAGCUUUGGUAUUUCCAUGGUAAUUCCAACCAGAUUUUUUUUUAAAAUCUCAUCAGACAUGAAGUGUUUGAACAGCGUUGCAGACGGAGCAUCGGAUGCUCAUUUGAAGAUGCAACAGAUGUCCAUUGUGGGUUUUCUGAAUUCGACCCUGAUGAGCUGAGAUUUCCAGGAACUUGGCGCCUCUGAUGUUCACUGUACAACACAACUUAAUGUGGCAGUGAAUAAAGGCAUUAAAUGAGUAGACAAA